AUGGGGUGCAGCAGGCGAGAAAACUUUGCAAUGUGCGAAAGCACGACAAGGUUAAUCCGAGUGUUUUCUGCUAAAGAAAUCUUUUGUUAGUUCUAAAACCACUAACGAAUAAGGGGUGGGCAAGUUCUGGUGUCAGCCGCCGCGGUAAAACCAGCACCUCAAGUGGUCAGGAGGAUUAUUGGGCCUAAAGCAUCCGUAGCCGCUAUGUUAGUUUUCGGUUAAAUCCAUGUGCUCAACACAUGGGCUGUCGAGAAUACUGCAUAGCUAGGGAGUGGGAGAGGUAGACGGUACUCGGUAGGAAGGGGUAAAAUCCUUUGAUCUAUCGAUGACCACCAGUGGCGAAGGCGGUCUACCAGAACAUGUCCGACGGUGAGGGAUGGAAGCUGGGGGAGCGAACCGGAUUAGAUACCCGGGUAGUCCCAGCUGUAAACUAUGCAAACUCAGUGAUGCAUUGGCUUGUGGCCAGUGCAGUGCCGCAGAGAAGUCGUUAAGUUUGCCGCCUGGGAAGUACGUACGCAAGUAUGAAACUUAAAGGAAUUGGCGGGGGAGCAC
rnacentral:rRNA from 1 species